rnacentral:rRNA from 1 species
AGCUAGUUGGCGAGGCAACGGCCCACCAAGGCGACGAUCGGUAGCCGACCUGAGAGGGUGAUCGGCCACAUUGGAACUGAGACACGGUCCAAACUCCUACGGGAGGCAGCAGUGGGAAUAUUGGGCAAUGGGCGAAAGCCUGACCCAGCAACGCCGCGUGAGUGAAGAAGGCUUUCGGGUUGUAAAGCUCUGUUGUUGAGGACGAAGGAAGUGACGGUACUCAACAAGGAAGCCCCGGCUAACUACGUGCCAGCAGCCGCGGUAAUACGUAGGGGGCGAGCGUUGUCCGGAAUGACUGGGCGUAAAGGGCGUGUAGGCGGCCGAUUAAGUAUGGAGUGAAAGUCCUGCUUUCAAGGUGGGAAUUGCUUUGUAGACUGGUUGGCUUGAGUGCGGAAGAGGUAAGUGGAAUUCCCAGUGUAGCGGUGAAAUGCGUAGAGAUUGGGAGGAACACCAGUGGCGAAGGCGACUUACUGGGCCGUAACUGACGCUGAGGCGCGAAAGCGUGGGGAGCGAACAGGAUUAGAUACCCUGGUAGUCCACGCUGUAAACGAUGAAUGCUAGGUGUUGCGGGUAUCGACCCCUGCAGUGCCGGAGUAAACGCAAUAAGCAUUCCGCCUGGGGAGUACGGCCGCAAGGUUGAAACUCAAAGGAAUUGACGGGGGCCCGCACAAGCAGCGGAGCAUGUUGUUUAAUUCGAUGCAACGCGAAGAACCUUACCAUGUCUUGACAUCGAGGAAAAGCAUUAGAAAUAAUGUGCGGAUUCGUCCAUCCGAAGACAGGUGGUGCAUGGUUGUCGUCAGCUCGUGUCGUGAGAUGUUGGGUUAAGUCCCGCAACGAGCGCAACCCUUAUGGUCAGUUACUAACGGGUAAAGCCGAGGACUCUGACAAGACUGCCGGGGACAACUCGGAGGAAGGUGGGGACGACGUCAAAUCAUCAUGCCCCUUAUGACAUGGGCUACAAACGUGCUACAAUGGUGGUUACAAAGAGGAGCGAGCAUGUAAAUGUAAGCGGAUCUCAAAAAAGCCAUCUCAGUUCGGAUUGUGGGCUGCAACCCGCCCACAUGAAGUUGGAGUUGCUAGUAAUCGCGGAUCAGAAUGCCGCGGUGAAUACGUUCCCGGGCCUUGUACACACCGCCCGUCACACCAUGGGAGUUGGGAGCACCCGAAGCCGGUGAGGAGCCGUCGAAGGUGAGACUGAUGACUGGGGUGAAGUCGUAACAAGGUAGCCGUAUCGGAAGGUGCGGCUG